GACUGCACUGGUGGCCUUGUGGUUAGACCAUCUGCUUCGAAUGCAGGAGGUUGCAGGUUCAAACCCUGAGCAAAUCA